GAGCCAGCUCAGCCAAGGGUGGAUCUUCUUGUGCCUGGCUGAGGCCACAGAGAGAGAUCCAGACGGCAAGUUGAGCCUUUAUUUUACAGCCAGAGGCAAACAAGGUAGUGGUCACCAUAGUUACAAUGUUCUUGUGAGUUUCACUUGUUUUGGC